GUGAUGGCAGCACAUAUACUAACACGGGAAUGAUACAGAGAAGAUGAGCGUGGCCCUGCACAAUGAUGGUAUGCAAAUCCAGGAAACAUUCCAUAUUUUU
ensembl:snRNA U6 U6 spliceosomal RNA